AACGAACGCUGGCGGCAUGCCUAACACAUGCAAGUCGAACGAGACCUUCGGGUCUAGUGGCGCACGGGUGCGUAACGCGUGGGAACCUGCCCUUAGGUUCGGAAUAACUCCCCGAAAGGGGUGCUAAUACCGGAUAAUGUCUUCGGACCAAAGAUUUAUCGCCUUUGGAUGGGCCCGCGUUGGAUUAGCUAGUUGGUAGGGUAAAAGCAUACCAAGGCGACGAUCCAUAGCUGGUCUGAGAGGAUGAUCAGCCACACUGGGACUGAGACACGGCCCAGACUCCUACGGGAGGCAGCAGUGGGGAAUAUUGGACAAUGGGCGAAAGCCUGAUCCAGCCAUGCCGCGUGAGUGAUGAAGGCCUUAGGGUUGUAAAGCUCUUUUACCCGGGAUGAUAAUGACAGUACCGGGAGAAUAAGCUCCGGCUAACUCCGUG
rnacentral:rRNA from 1 species